rnacentral:rRNA from 1 species
CGGGAACCCUUGGAUUCGUCUGGGGGGGAGAGUGGCGGACGGGUGAGUAACACGUAGGUGACCUGCCCCAAAGCGGGGAAUAACCAUUGGAAACGGUGGCUAAUACCCCAUGUGCUCGAUGGUUCGCUCCAUCGAGUAAAGCUCCGGCGCUUUGGGAGGGGCCUGCGGCCCAUCAGGUAGUUGGUAGGGUAAUGGCCUACCAAGCCAAUGACGGGUAGGGGGCGUGAGAGCGUGAUCCCCCACACUGGCACUGAGACACGGGCCAGACUCCUACGGGAGGCAGCAGUGAGGAAUAUUGCCCAAUGGACGCAAGUCUGAGGCAGCAACGCCGCGUGAGCGAUGAAGGCCUUCGGGUUGUAAAGCUCUUUUCUGGGGGACGAGGAAGGACGGUACCUCAGGAAUAAGUCACGGCUAGCUACGUGCCAGCAGCCGCGGUAAUACGUAGGUGGCUAGCGUUAUCCGGAUUUACUGGGCGUAAAGCGCGUGUAGGCGGUUUCGUAAGUCGGAUGUGAAAGCUCCUGGCUCAACUGGGAGAGGCCAUUCGAUACUGCGAGACUUGAGGACGGGAGAGGGACGUGGAAUUCCCGGUGUAGUGGUGGAAUGCGUAGAUAUCGGGAGGAACACCAGUGGCGAAGGCGACGUCCUGGCCCGCACCUGACGCUAAGACGCGAAAGCGUGGGGAGCGAACGGGAUUAGAUACCCCGGUAGUCCACGCCGUAAACGGUGGAUACUAUGUGUAGGGGUUUCGAUACCUCUGUGCCGCCGCUAACGCAUUAAGUAUUCCGCCUGGGGAGUACGGUC